GACGAACGCUGGCGGCGUGCCUAAUACAUGCAAGUCGAACGAGAGCGACCGGUGCUUGCACUGGUCAAUCUAGUGGCGAACGGGUGAGUAACACGUGGGUAACCUGCCCAUCAGAGGGGGAUAACAUUCGGAAACGGAUGCUAAAACCGCAUAGGUCUUCAAACCGCAUGGUUUGAAGAGGAAAAGAGGCGCAAGCUUCUGCUGAUGGAUGGACCCGCGGUGCAUUAGCUAGUUGGUGAGGUAACGGCUCACCAAGGCAAUGAUGCAUAGCCGAGUUGAGAGACUGAUCGGCCACAUUGGGACUGAGACACGGCCCAAACUCCUACGGGAGGCAGCAGUAGGGAAUCUUCCACAAUGGACGCAAGUCUGAUGGAGCAACGCCGCGUGAGUGAAGAAGGGUUUCGGCUCGUAAAGCUCUGUUGGUAGUGAAGAAAGAUAGAGGUAGUAACUGGCCUUUAUUUGACGGUAAUUACUUAGAAAGUCACGGCUAACUACGUGCCAGCAGCCGCGGUAAUACGUAGGUGGCAAGCGUUGUCCGGAUUUAUUGGGCGUAAAGCGAGUGCAGGCGGUUCAAUAAGUCUGAUGUGAAAGCCUUCGGCUCAACCGGAGAGUUGCAUCAGAAACUGUUGAACUUGAGUGCAGAAGAGGAGAGUGGAACUCCAUGUGUAGCGGUGGAAUGCGUAGAUAUAUGGAAGAACACCAGUGGCGAAGGCGGCUCUCUGGUCUGCAACUGACGCUGAGGCUCGAAAGCAUGGGUAGCGAACAGG
rnacentral:rRNA from 1 species